rnacentral:tRNA from 3 species
GGUCCGUUGGUCAAGGGGUUAAGACACCGCCUUUUCACGGCGGUAACACGGGUUCGAAUCCCGUACGGACUAU